UGUAGGAGCCGGCUUGCUGGCGAUGGCGUCCGUCGAGUCGGUCAACCGGUUGGCUGACCCACCGCUAUCGCCAGCAAGCCGGCUCCUACA
rnacentral:misc_RNA from 1 species